UACGAAGGGUGCAAGCGUUACUCGGAAUUACUGGGCGUAAAGCGUGCGUAGGUGGUUUGUUAAGUCCGUUGUGAAAGCCCUGGGCUCAACCUGGGAAUGGCAGUGGAUACUGGCAAGCUAGAGUGCGGUAGAGGGUAGUGGAAUUCCCGGUGUAGCAGUGAAAUGCGUAGAGAUCGGGAGGAACACCAGUGGCGAAGGCGGCUACCUGGACCAGCACUGACACUGAGGCACGAAAGC
rnacentral:rRNA from 1 species